rnacentral:sRNA from 15 species
CAGCAACAACAAAACCUUUCGGCAAAACAUUAAGCAAUAGUUAACUUCUGGGGUCCGCACCUAAGGCCGCGUCCGCGACGCGCUGCCAAGGCGAAUGGCAAGCCAGGCAAAAGCAAAAGCAAAGCAGAGAGCCGAAGGAAAAGAGGAAGCAUCCGAACCAAACAAGCGUUUAUUUUACACUUUGGCGAAUAUAUCGAGUGCGGCAAGCAUGUGCCGUUGAGCAGCAGACAUGGAAUCAAUUGUUUUGCACUCGGAUGUGGCUCGUCUGGUAUUGGGUUACCUGGUGAAUCAGGAUCUGAAAAAAGCCGCUCACACACUGUGCCGCACUUGCGGCAGG